UACGAAGGGGGCGAGCGUUGUUCGGAUUUACUGGGCGUAAAGGGCGCGCAGGCGGCUCAUUUUGUCAGGCGUGAAAGCCCCGGGCUUAACCUGGGAACUGCGUUUGAUACGGAUGGGCUAGAGUUCGGGAGAGGAGAGUGGAAUUCCCAGUGUAGAGGUGAAAUUCGUAGAUAUUGGGAAGAACACCCGUGGCGAAGGCGGCUCUCUGGUACGGAACUGACGCUGAGACGCGAAAGCGUGGGGAGCGAACAGG
rnacentral:rRNA from 1 species